rnacentral:lncRNA from 1 species
GCUUUUGGGAUUUCUGUUUGGAUUUAGUUUAGGUUCAAAAGAGCACGCACAGAUCCUGAGUGUUGUCAAGCACCCGUGACUGGGAAACGGAGGCGUCCGAUCCGUAUUGGAGUCAAUUCGCCACUUAAUUGAACACAGCCUCGAAGGGAAGGGCCAUAUUUGUGGGCCUGUCUAACAAUUAAGAGUGACCACAUGGAAUGGGGGAUGAAAGGGUUAAAGAAGAACAAAUAUUGAACACAGCUUUUCUAUGAACAAACUGCAGGCAGCUGCUGCUUUGCAAGGCUGCAGAUACACUGGUCAGGACCCUGGGUAGAGAGAGAUGCGUCAGAAUGCGGCUCCUUUCAGAAAGGCUUCUCCGGAGGUUGGUGAGGUCAGCUGACUACUAGAAGACAGAUCUAUUUGAAGAUUUUUGUGGUGGUCUUUACUACUCCAGAGAUUUACAGCUGAUGAAAAAUGGAGAAGUACAUGACCCUACCCUGCUGUUGGACAUGCUACCCAAGGAUCAUGACUGACAACUUGUCAACAUCACUAUUGCUUAUUUAAUAAAUGUGCAGUACUACUUCAAUAAACCUGGAAUCAUAAAA